rnacentral:rRNA from 1 species
CGGCGAGUGAGCGGCAAAAGCUCAAAUUUGAAAUCUGGUACCUUUGGUGCCCGAGUUGUAAUUUGGAGAGUACCACUUUGGGACUGUACUUUGCCUAUGUUCCUUGGAACAGGACGUCAUGGAGGGUGAGAAUCCCGUGUGGCGAGGGUGUCAGUUCUUUGUAAAGGGUGCUCGAAGAGUCGAGUUGUUUGGGAAUGCAGCUCUAAGUGGGUGGUAAAUUCCAUCUAAAGCUAAAUACAGGCGAGAGACCGAUAGCGAACAAGUACAGUGAUGGAAAGAUGAAAAGAACUUUGAAAAGAGAGUGAAAAAGUACGUGAAAUUGUUGAAAGGGAAGGGCAUUUGAUCAGACAUGGUGUUUUGCGCCCCUUGCCUCUCGUGGGCUUGGGACUCUCGCAGCUCACUGGGCCAGCAUCGGUUUUGGCGGCCGGAAAAAACCUAGGGAAUGUGGCUCUGCGCCUCGGUGUAGAGUGUUAUAGCCCUGGGGAAUACGGCCAGCCGGGACCGAGGACUGCGAUACUUGUUAUCUAGGAUGCUGGCAUAAUGGUUAUAUGCCGCCCGUC